rnacentral:rRNA from 1 species
AACGAACGCUGGCGGCAGGCCUAACACAUGCAAGUCGAGCGAGGACUUCGGUCCUAGCGGCGGACGGGGUGAGUAACGCGUGGGAACGUGCCCUUUGGUACGGAAUAGCCCCGGGAAACUGGGAGUAAUACCGUAGUGGUGUCGUUCGGACUAAAGAUUUAUCGCCAAAGGAUCGGCCGGCGUUGGGAUUAGGUAGUUGGUGGGGUAAUGGCCUACCAAGCCGACGAUCCAUAGCUGGUUGAGAGGAUGAUCAGCCACACUGGGACUGAGACACGGCCCAGACUCCUACGGGAGGCAGCAGUAGGGAAUAUUGGACAAUGGCGGCC